UUUUGCAAGGUUUGUGGUUGAAAGUCCAUGCCAGACGCAGGCGAAGGGAUCCACGUAAGCUGAUAUAAAAUAUAUCAGUGAGCAUAGUGCGUUUUAGAUGUAAGACCUACCGCAAAAAGCGAGAGAAUUAUUAGUGAGGCAAACCCGAGCAAAACUUCCAGUAGGCGAGUGUGGGGGGAAAGACCAGUGUCAACUUGCAAAA
rfam:Peptostreptococcaceae bacterium AS15 ctg120005099180, whole genome shotgun sequence.